AAACAGCCCCCUAUGUAUUGGAUCUUUGUCAGUUUUGGCACCAAGACCACUUUUGACUUAGUCUUCAUUGACUGGCACCCACAAUGGUUGACACGUGGCACCUCACUUAAGGGAUAUGGGUGCCAUGUCAGCGAAGACUAAGUCAAAAGUGGUCUUGGGGGCCAAAACUGCCAAAGAUCCAAUACAUAGGGGGCUGUUU
rfam:Medicago truncatula strain A17 chromosome 1, whole genome shotgun sequence.